rnacentral:rRNA from 1 species
CCUUACCAAAUCUUGACAUCCUCUGACCCCUCUAGAGAUAGAGUUUCCCCUUCGGGGGACAGAGUGACAGGUGGUGCAUGGUUGUCGUCAGCUCGUGUCGUGAGAUGUUGGUUAAGUCCCGCAACGAGCGCAACCCUUAAGCUUAGUUGCCAUCAUUAAGUUGGGCACUCUAAGUUGACUGCCGGUGACAAACCGGAGGAAGGUGGGGAUGACGUCAAAUCAUCAUGCCCCUUAUGAUUUGGGCUACACACGUGCUACAAUGGACAAUACAAAGGGUAGCGAAACCGCGAGGUCAAGCAAAUCCCAUAAAGUUGUUCUCAGUUCGGAUUGUAGUCUGCAACUCGACUAUAUGAAGCUGGAAUCGCUAGUAAUCGUAGAUCAGCAUGCUACGGUGAAUACGUUCCCGGGUCUUGUACACACCGCCCGUCACACCACGAGAGUUUGUAACACCCGAAGCCGGUGGAGUAACCAUUUGGAGCUAGCCGUCGAAGGUGGGACAAAUGAUUGGGGUGAAGUCGUAACAAGGUAGGCGUAGCGAG